GUCCUAGGGGAUUUUGAUAAAGUGGUAUAAACUUUCUAAAGAAAUGUAAAUCAGUAAAGGUUUCCCAGGUGGCUCAGUGGUAAAGAUUCCACCUACUGACACAGGAGAUGAGGGUUUGAUCCCUGGGUGGGGAAGAUCCUCUGAAGAAGAAAAUGACAACCCACUCCAGUUUUCUUGCCUGGGAAAUCCCAUGGACAAGAGGAGCCUGAUGAGCUAGAGGCCAUGGGAUUACAAACAGUAGGACAUGACACAGCGACUAUACCACCACCACCAAUUCAGUAAAAUUUAACCCUUAUGUAUUGGAUCUCGCUCAAAAUUAUUUUAGGAGGCAAGUUGGGGGUAUGUAAUUAUUAACCUCAUCUUCUUAAUCAGUAGGGAAGUGACUUUUAAAAGUUAACAGGCUAUUUUUUUGAGCUGUUCUAACUUUACAGAAACAUUGAGGGCAAAGUGUCCCUAUAUUUGUUUCCUCUAUUAUGAACGUGUUGUAUUAGCAUGGUACGUCUGUUACAACUGAUGAGCCAGUAUUGCAAAGUGACUUUGAAAUGACCAUGGCCAAGGCUGCCAGUUGGCUGGGCUGCGGCUGGGAACCAAGCCAUAUCCACACCCUCGCUUCAACAAGCUGCCUGGUACUUUCUCUUGAAAGAUGUUCUAUACAGAUUAACACCAUAAUGGCUGUAACUGCUCUGUGCCAGUAUCUGAACACAGGUGGCAGCAGGACUCAUUUGACUAAGCCCUGUGAUUGGUGCCUGGUUGGUAUUUAUCCUGGCUCCAUCUUAACUUUCCGUGCAACCUGGGACACAAUUGUUAAUGGCUUACAUGUGUAAACCUGUGAAACAGGGCAGUCACAGAGCACAGUAUCAAGUAUUAGUUUAUACCCUGACUCUUUCUAAAGGGAAUGGGUACAACGAUAUUAAUGCUGAAGAACUGCUCUGACAGAGGUUACAAACAGGCUUGAGUUUUCACACAAGGAUGACAUUCAUUCAUUCUCUGAAACAGUCUGAGGAUAUUGGAAAGCAAGGCACUUCUAUUUUCUCAAUUGAAGACGGGAAGGACAUCAAUUAAAAAAAAAACCCUAUAGAAUAUAGUUUUACUCCAAUAUGAUAUAGUUUCCUCAAUAGUCUUAGGAUAAACCACACCUGGUCAUUAAGUGGAGCUGGCAGUGGUGUGAGUGGCUGGACACCUCUGGACAGGCUUCCCAGGAAAGAUGUCUUUCUGACUUGAGUUUUAAAAGAUGAGCAGUUGCCAAAUCCCCUAGAGAGAGUUUCUCAAACCACCUGUGGUUAAGAACCAGUCGUUUUUGUUCCCAAUCUUCCAGGUACCAAUACGAAACCCCUUAUGUGCCAGACAGGUUCCAGUUUGCAGAAGAGCACAAGGCAGCUGAAACUUGCUGGAAAUGCAAGAUUAUCAGCGCUCACCCUAAGCAAGUCCAAUCUGCGUUUUAACCAGAUUCCCAGGUGAUUCCUGUGCACGCUAAAGUUCGAGGAGUUGCCCCAGAGAACCCAGGACUCGUUUACAAAACUGAAUUUUCCCGCCGCGACGAAAACUUGUAACCUGAGUGCAGGAGAUAAACUCCACACGGGUAGGCGGCUUCCAGAAAUUCUGAUCAGCCUCCGUUCUCUGCUUUGAUCUGGCCCAACAGCCGGGGCAGCUCCUCGGAUCGCGCUUCCGUCCCCGGGGUCGCUCAUCUGCCGAGCUGCAUUAAUGAGAUCCACGUUGAGCCGGUUCCAGGGUCUGCUGAAGAUCAAAGGCACACACACACACACACAAAUCCCCCAACCCCUCCUCCUCCUCGGUGACUAUUAGGUCUCUAUCACCAGAGGGGAGUCAACUUCUCCUACCCUCCCCAUGGUCGGGAGGGGAGGAGGCGGGGAGGUAGUCCGCGAGCCGCUCGGGCCCCGCCCGCCUCCGAGCCUCCAAGCCCGCGGCGGCCCGAGGCGCGGAGUGGGCGGGGCCUGGGCGAAGUUGGGGG
ensembl:lncRNA